UGGGGAAUUUUGGACAAUGGGCGCAAGCCUGAUCCAGCCAUGCCGCGUGCGGGAAGAAGGCCUUCGGGUUGUAAACCGCUUUUGUCAGGGAAGAAAUCUUCUGAGUUAAUACCUCGGGAGGAUGACGGUACCUGAAGAAUAAGCACCGGCUAACUACGUGCCAGCAGCCGCGGUAAUACGUAGGGUGCAAGCGUUAAUCGGAAUUACUGGGCGUAAAGCGUGCGCAGGCGGUUUUGUAAGACAGAGGUGAAAUCCCCGGGCUCAACCUGGGAACUGCCUUUGUGACUGCAAGGCUUGAGUGCGGCAGAGGGGGAUGGAAUUCCGCGUGUAGCAGUGAAAUGCGUAGAUAUGCGGAGGAACACCGAUGGCGAAGGCAAUCCCCUGGGCCUGCACUGACGCUCAUGCACGAAAGCGUGGGGAGCAAACAGGAUUAGAUACCCUGGUAGUCCACGCCCUAAACGAUGUCAACUGGUUGUUGGGAAGGUUCCUU
rnacentral:rRNA from 1 species